GCCCGUGUAGCUCAGUCGGAAGAGCGGCUCACUCGUAAUGAGCAGGUCCGGGGUUCGAUUCCCCGCGCGGGCUCGA
rnacentral:tRNA from 1 species